GAUUAAGUUAUUAAGGGCGCACGGUGGAUGCCUUGGCACUAGAAGCCGAUGAAGGACGUUACUAACGACGAUAUGCUUUGGGUAGCUGUAAGUAAGCGUUGAUCCAGAGAUUUCU
rnacentral:rRNA from 1 species